CCUACGGGUGGCAGCAGUGAGGAAUAUUGGUCAAUGGGCGCGAGCCUGAACCAGCCAAGUAGCGUGAAGGAUGACUGCCCUACGGGUUGUAAACGUCUUUUAUAAAGGAAUAAAUUUAGGCACGUGUGCCUUUUUGUAUGUACUUUAUGAUUAAGGAUCGGCUAACUCCGUGCCAGCAGCCGCGGUAAUACGGAGGAUCCGAGCGUUAUCCGGACUUGUUUGGUUUAAAGGGAGCGUAGAGGGGUUGUUAAGUCAGUUGUGAAAGUUUGCGGCUCAACCGUAAAAUUGCUAUUGAUACUGGCAGUCUUGAGUACGGUUGAGGUAGGCGGAAUUCGUGGUGUAGCGGUGAAAUGCUUAGAUAUAACGAAGAACACCGAUUGCGAAGGCAGCUUACUAAGCUGCCACUGACAUUGAUGCUCGAAAGUGUGGGUAUCAAACAGGAUUAGAUACCCGUGUAGUC
rnacentral:rRNA from 1 species